rnacentral:rRNA from 1 species
GCCUGAUCCAGCAAUGCCGCGUGUGUGAAGAAGGCCUUCGGGUUGUAAAGCACUUUUGUCCGGAAAGAAAUCCUUGGCUCUAAUACAGCCGGGGGAUGACGGUACCGGAAGAAUAAGCACCGGCUAACUACGUGCCAGCAGCCGCGGUAAUACGUAGGGUGCGAGCGUUAAUCGGAAUUACUGGGCGUAAAGCGUGCGCAGGCGGUUUGCUAAGACCGAUGUGAAAUCCCCGGGCUCAACCUGGGAACUGCAUUGGUGACUGGCAGGCUAGAGUAUGGCAGAGGGGGGUAGAAUUCCACGUGUAGCAGUGAAAUGCGUAGAGAUGUGGAGGAAUACCGAUGGCGAAGGCAGCCCCCUGGGCCAAUACUGACGCUCAUGCACGAAAGCGUGGGGAGCAAACAGGAUUAGAUACCCUGGUAGUCCACGCCCUAAACGAUGUCAACUAGUUGUUGGGGAUUCAUUUCCUUAGUAACGUAGCUAACGCGUGAAGUUGACCGCCUGGGGAGUACGGUCGCAAGAUUAAAACUCAAAGGAAUUGACGGGGACCCGCACAAGCGGUGGAUGAUGUGGAUUAAUUCGAUGCAACGCGAAAAACCUUACCUACCCUUGACAUGGUCGGAAUCCUGCUGAGAGGUGGGAGUGCUCGAAAGAGAACCGGCGCACAGGUGCUGCAUGGCUGUCGUCAGCUCGUGUCGUGAGA